rnacentral:rRNA from 1 species
CUCGAGCGGCGAACGGGUGAGUAACACGUGAGUAACCUGCCCCAGGCUUUGGGAUAACCCCGGGAAACCGGGGCUAAUACCGGAUAUGACCAUCUGUCGCAUGGUGGGUGGUGGAAAGAUUUUUUGGCUUGGGAUGGGCUCGCGGCCUAUCAGCUUGUUGGUGGGGUGAUGGCCUACCAAGGCGGCGACGGGUAGCCGGCCUGAGAGGGCGACCGGCCACACUGGGACUGAGACACGGCCCAGACUCCUACGGGAGGCAGCAGUGGGGAAUCUUGCACAAUGGGCGGAAGCCUGAUGCAGCGACGCCGCGUGAGGGAUGACGGCCUUCGGGUUGUAAACCUCUUUCAGCAGGGACGAAGCGUUUGUGACGGUACCUGCAGAAGAAGCGCCGGCCAACUACGUGCCAGCAGCCGCGGUAAGACGUAGGGCGCAAGCGUUGUCCGGAUUUAUUGGGCGUAAAGAGCUCGUAGGCGGCUUGUCGCGUCGACUGUGAAAACCCGUGGCUCAACUGCGGGCUUGCAGUCGAUACGGGCAGGCUAGAGUUCGGUAGGGGAGACUGGAAUUCCUGGUGUAGCGGUGAAAUGCGCAGAUAUCAGGAGGAACACCGGUGGCGAAAGGCGGGUCUCUGGGCCGAUACUGACGCUGAGGAG